GACUGUCUGCGUGACUGGCGACCGAGGUGGAUACCACCGGGGAGCGCAGAUCGAUGAUGCCGCUCGCCUGGGCACCCUUC
rnacentral:ncRNA from 2 species